CUUUCAAAAUGACCCCCACACCCCCCAAAGUAAUUCUAACCCUCUAUGUAUUUGUGGGGGUCUUGUAGAGAGCUUUGUGAUCUUUUCUCCCCGGAUCCAAUGUUUUUGGUAGGAUCGCUGUUACGUUUCGGAUCUGUAAUAUUUUGGAUACGAGGCGGCGCCAGCAGAGGAGAAGGAGAAGCCGAGGCGGCGGCGGCAUAGCCGUGGGGAGCCAUACCAGCGACGUUGCUGAUGUUUGAUGUUUACUGAUGAUGUUGAUUGGUCCACCAUUGUUGAUUGGUUCGUUUUCAAUGAAUUGGCUUCAAAAUCCCACAUUUUAAUUA